AGGACGAACGCUGGCGGCGUGCUUAACACAUGCAAGUCGAGCGGAAAGGCCCUUCGGGGUACUCGAGCGGCGAACGGGUGAGUAACACGUGAGCAACCUGCCCCUGGCUCUGGGAUAGCCUCCGGAAACGGGGAUUAAUACCGGACAUGACCCUUGACCGCAUGGUUGGGGGUGGAAAGUUUUUCGGCCAGGGUGGGGCUCGCGGCCUAUCAGCUUGUUGGGGGGGGUGACGGCCCACCAAGGCGACGACGGGUAGCC
rnacentral:rRNA from 1 species